rnacentral:rRNA from 1 species
GACGAACGCUGGCGGCGUGCUUAACACAUGCAAGUCGAACGGAAAGGCCCUGCUUUUGUGGGGUGCUCGAGUGGCGAACGGGUGAGUAACACGUGAGUAACCUGCCCUUGACUUUGGGAUAACUUCAGGAAACUGGGGCUAAUACCGGAUAGGAGCUCCUGCUGCAUGGUGGGGGUUGGAAAGUUUCGGCGGUUGGGGAUGGACUCGCGGCUUAUCAGCUUGUUGGUGGGGUAGUGGCUUACCAAGGCUUUGACGGGUAGCCGGCCUGAGAGGGUGACCGGCCAAAUGGGGACUGAGAGACGGCCCAGACCCCUACGGGGGGCAGAAGUGGGGAAUAUUGCACAAGGGGCGGAAGCCGGAGGCAGCAACGCCGCGUGCGGGAUGACGGCCUUCGGGUUGUAAACCGCUUUCGCCGGUGAAGAAGGGGGAGUGACGGUAAUGGGUAAAGAAGCACCGGCUAACUACGUG